rnacentral:rRNA from 1 species
GACAGAGGAUGCAAGCGUUAUCCGGAAUGAUUGGGCGUAAAGCGUCUGUAGGUGGCUUCUUAAGUCCGCUGUCAAAUCCCAGGGCUUAACCCUGGCCAGGCGGUGGAGACUACUAAGCUUGAGUACGGUAGGGGCAGAGGGAAUUUCCGGUGGAGCGGUGAAAUGCGUAGAGAUCGGAAAGAACACCAAGGGCGAAGGCACUCUGCUGGGCCGACACUGACACUGAGAGACGAGAGCUAGGGGAGCUAAUGGG